CACACUAUCAUUAACUGAAUCCAUAGGUUAAUGAGGCGAACCGGGGGAACUGAAACAUCUAAGUACCCCGAGGAAAAGAAAUCAACCGAGAUUCCCCCAGUAGCGGCGAGCGAACGGGGAGCAGCCCAGAGCCUGAAUCAGUGUGUGUGUUAGUGGAAGCGUCUGGAAAGGCGCGCGAUACAGGGUGACAGCCCCGUACACAAAAAUGCACAUACUGUGAGCUCGAUGAGUAGGGCGGGACACGUGGUAUCCUGUCUGAAUAUGGGGGG
rnacentral:rRNA from 1 species